AUGGUCGAAGGCUCGGAGUCGGACAUCUCCAACCUUAAGUUCCUCCUCCUCUGUUUCCAACAUAUGUCUGGCCUCAAGAUCAACUUCGAUAAGAGCGACGUGAUGGUGAUGGGCUACUCUCCAGAGGACUGCUUGAGCAUUGUCAACCGCCUAAACAGCCGCUUAGGAUCUUUCCCCACGACCUACUUGGGGACGCCUAUUAGUGAUUCUAGGCUCACCGUCGCGGACAUGCGCCCGACCAUGACCAAGCUUCAAACGCGCUGUGAGCCCUGGUAGGGUAGGUUGCUUUCGAUGGCGGCCCGAAUGAUCCUCAUUAAUUCUUCCCUCGCUAGCCUCCUCUUGUUCCUCAUGAGCUUCUACAGCCUCCACGAGACGCUCCACCAUGAGAUUGCCAAAAUCCAGUCACAUUUCUACUGGGCAGGCGAUAAUAAUAAGCAGAAGUACCACAUGGUUACCUGGCCAGACAUCUGCAAGCCCCGGGAGCAAGGAUGGCUCGGUAUCAUGUGUUCUAAACGCAUGAACAUUGCUCUCAUAUCCCGCUGGCUCUGGCGCAUUUCGCAGGGGCAGGGAGGCCUCUGGCUCGACAUCAUCCGGAACAAGUACUUGCGUGUACAGCCACUUGCCUUUUGUCAGAGAUCUGGCGGCUCUCAGUUCUGGCAGUCGGUUGUCCAGCUUCUACCGGUCCUCUGCAUUGGGACAUCCAUCUCAGUGGGAUCUGGGGCGGCGACUCUGUUCUGGUUUGACCGUUGGGCUGGCGACUCCCCCUUCGCAGCUCGCUUUCCUUCCCUCUUCUCUAUUGCCGUGGACCUUUCCAUUUCUGUCGAGAGGGCCCUUAUUGACUUAGGGCGCCUCGCUUUUCGGAGGUUGUUUGGUCCUCCGGAGUCCGCCGCAUGGCGUGAGUUACUUGAUUGUGUUGCGCUCCACGAGCCGGCUGUUGAUACGGGUCCGGACCUAGUUAGAUGGCAGCUCGAGCAAUCUGGCCAAUUCUCCACCAAGUCCCUAUACCAAGUCAUCGCCCCUUCCACCGCCCCCCCCCUCCCCUCACGGCGGUUUGGUCAGUCUGCCUGCCCUUGA
rnacentral:rRNA from 1 species